rnacentral:SRP_RNA from 13 species
CAGGCGAAGCCUGUGUGGAGCCCCGUGAUGGCACAGCUGGUACUGAACUGCGUGUGGCGCCUGCCUUCACAGAGCUGCGCGCAGCGCCUGUC